GAGGUAGUGACAAUAAAUCACAAUGCGGGACUUCUAGUCUUGCAAUUGGAUUGAGAACAACGUAAAACUCUUAUCGAUAAGCCAUUGGAGGGCAAGUCUGGUGCCAGCAGCCGCGGUAAUUCCAGCUCCAAUAGCGUAUAUUAACGUUGUUGCAGUUAAAAAGCUCGUAGUUGAAGUGAGGGAGUGUGUGUUGUGAUCGAAUCGAUCGAGAGCAGUACAACCUCCCCCUUCCAAUGGGUGUAUUGGGGUAUUCAUUUACUUCAUUACUCCUUUGGUCGUUUACUGUGAGAAAAUUAGAGUGUUCAAAGCGGGCGUUUGUUUGAAUAGAUUAGCAUGGAAUAAUGAUUGAAGGCUUUCGUGUUCGAUUUGAUUGGUUUGUUCAUGGAAGCAAGGUUAAAAGGAACAGUUGGGGGUAUUCAUAUUCACUAGUUAGAGGUGAAAUUCUCGGAUUUAUGGAAGAUGAACAAGGCCGAAAGCAA
rnacentral:rRNA from 1 species